GCUGCGAUGGCCGAGUGGUUAAGGCGUUGGACUCCAAAUCCAAUGGGAUAUUCCCGCGCAGGUUCGAAUCCUGUUCGCAGCG
rnacentral:tRNA from 1 species